rnacentral:rRNA from 1 species
GUGCCAGCAGCCGCGGUAAUACGUAGGGGGCGAGCGUUGUUCGGAUUUAUUGGGCGUAAAGCGCGCGUAGGCGGUAAGGUAAGUGAGAGGUUAAAUCCCUUCGCUCAACGAAGGAAUCGCCUCUUAAACUGCCUUGCUUGAGUUCAGGAGAGGAGAGUGGAAUUCCUGGUGGAGCGGUGAAAUGCGUAGAUACCAGGAGGAACACCGGUGGCGAAGGCGGCUCUCUGGACUGAUACUGACGCUGAGGCGCGAAAGCCAGGGGAGCAAACGGGAUUAGAUACCCCCGUAGUCC